rnacentral:misc_RNA from 1 species
UCCUUCUAGCCCAUCUCUGAAAAGUU